UAGGGAAUCUUCAGCAAUGGACGAAAGUCUGACCGAGCAACGCCGCGUGAGUGAAGAAGGUUUUCGGAUCGUAAAACUCUGUUGUUAGAGAAGAACAAGGACGUUAGUAACUGAACGUCCCCUGACGGUAUCUAACCAGAAAGCCACGGCUAACUACGUGCCAGCAGCCGCGGUAAUACGUAGGUGGCAAGCGUUGUCCGGAUUUAUUGGGCGUAAAGCGAGGGCAGGCGGUUUCUUAAGUCUGAUGUGAAAGCCCCCGGCUCAACCGGGGAGGGUCAUUGGAAACUGGGAGACUUGAGUGCAGAAGAGGAGAGUGGAAUUCCAUGGGUAGCGGUGGAAUGCGUAGAUAGAUGGAGGAACACCAGUGGCGAGGGCGGCUCUCUGGUCUGUAACUGACGCUGAGGCACGAAAGCGUGGGGAGCAAACAGA
rnacentral:rRNA from 1 species